UGGCAGAAGGGCCCUUGGAAACGUUGAGUAAAGCCAGCAUGUUCGUUCUACAGUGGAAGGAAAUUCACUGAAGAAAAUCUGAGAGUUUGUGGGUUUAAUUUUAGGACAUGGCUAAGUGCAAGAGUGAACGGUGCCUGCUGACCACACCUCAGAAUUAGGCAGCGUUCUUAGCCAGACACAGACAUCAGGAGGACGAACCAGGCUUCCCUCCAUGGAGGGGUCUGCCCGGGCAAGACCCAGGCAUAGAAGAGAAGACAAUGCAUGCUCCUUGCAGGUGACCUUGACCCGUGAAGAGGAAUUCAAGAAGCUGAGAAGAGAAUGCAGGUCCUUCCUGUUCCUUUCCCUGGCCUCACCUCUUCGCAUUCCAGUCUCCUCAGACUUCAUCUCCGCUUGGAUCCUCUUCAUCCGCUGUGUGUGGAAAGUGCCUGUGGGCUGAAAGCUGAGGGAACUGUAGGUCUCACCUCACCUCUUUCAGGGGCCCAUGGUUCUCCUGCCUGCUGUCCAGGGUCUGAAAAUAGCCAUUCUGUAGAUUUUGCUCCAAUGCCCCUUGUGAGAUCCUUGGCAAGGGGUUUUGAAGGUAGAAUCACAGUAACAAUUGAAUCAGGGUUCAUGAGAACUCAGUUAUUGGUGCCUUCAAAGCACAGAAUAAAUUAGAUAUCUCUUAAAAAUAAAUGAUUGAAGGGAGCCUGGAUGGCUCAGUUAAGCGUCCAACUUCGGCUCA